rnacentral:rRNA from 1 species
CAGUAGCCGCGGUAAUACAGAGGGUGCAAGCGUUAAUCGGAAUUACUGGGCGUAAAGCGCGCGUAGGUGGUUUGUUAAGUUGGAUGUGAAAUCCCCGGGCUCAACCUGGGAACUGCAUCCAAAACUGGCAGGCUAGAGUAGGGCAGAGGGUGGUGGAAUUUCCUGUGUAGCGGUGAAAUGCGUAGAUAUUCGGAAGAACACCAGUGGCGAAGGCGGCUUACUGGCUCAUACUGGACGCUGAGGUGCGAAAGCGUGGGGAGCAAACAGGAUUAGAUACCCGGGUAGUCCCUGUCUCUUAUAC